rnacentral:rRNA from 1 species
AUUGAACGCUGGUGGCAGGCCUAACACAUGCAAGUCGAACGAGUGGCGGACGGGUGAGUCAUGUCUGGGAAACUGCCCGAUGGAGGGGGAUAACUACUGGAAACGGUAGCUAAUACCGCAUACCAUCGGAUGUGCCCAGAUGGGAUUCUCUAGUAGGUGGGGUAACGGCUCACCUAGGGGACGAUCCCUAGCUGGUCUGAGAGGAUGACCAGCCACACUGGAACUGAGACACGGUCCAGACUCUUACGUGGGGCAGCAGUGGGGAAUAUUGCACAAUGGGCGCAAGCCUGAUGCAGCCAUGCCGCGUGUAUGAAGAAGGCCUUCGGUUUGUAAAGUACUUUCAGCGGGGAGGCGUUACCCGCAGAAGAAGCACCGGCUAACUCCGUGCCAGCAGCCGCGGUAAUUC